GCAAACUUGGUCAUUUAGAGGAAGUAAAAGUCGUAACAAGGUUUCCGUAGGUGAACCUGCGGAAGGAUCAUUAACAAAUCUAAAAUAUACGCGAUGGGAGGAAUAAUCCGGUCGAAAUAUAUGAGAUGGGAGAAAAACCCUUUGAUAUAUGAGAUGGGAGGGAAUAAUCCGGUUGAAAUAUAUGAGAUGGGAAGGAAUCUUGUCAAAAUAUACACGAUAAAGAAAUUGACAAAGCGAGACAAAAAAAGCAAAAACAACUUUUAACAAUGGAUCUCUUGGCUCUUGCAUCGAUGAAGAACGCAGC
rnacentral:misc_RNA from 1 species